rnacentral:pre_miRNA from 16 species
GGAAAACCCAUGGCAGCUGCUGGACACAGCCCAAGAUUAGUUUAAGACUCUUGUGCGUGAACAUCAGCUAGUGUGGGGUUUCAACACGGCAUA